rnacentral:rRNA from 1 species
UCCUACGGGAGGCAGCAGUAGGGAAUAUUGCGCAAUGGGCGAAAGCCUGACGCAGCGACGCCGCGUGAGUGAAGAAGGUUCUAUGGAUCGUAAAGCUCUGUAAGGAGGGAAGAACCAGUUGGUGUAACGGCCAACUCUGACGGUACCUCCAAAGUAAGGACCGGCUAAAUAAGUGCCAGCAGCCGCGGUAAUACUUAUGGUCCGAGCGUUGUCCGGAAUGACUGGGCGUAAAGGGUGCGUAGGCGGCUACAUAUGUCAGGUGUGAAAUCCCCGGGCUUAACCUGGGAACUGCGCUUGAAACUGUGUAGCUUGAGUCCGUGAGAGGUUAGCGGAAUUCCCGGAGUAGCGGUGAAAUGCGUAGAGAUCGGGAAGAACACCAGUGGCGAAGGCGGCUAACUGGCACGGUACUGACGCUGAGGCACGAAAGCGUGGGGAGCGAACGGGAUUAGAUACCCCGGUAGUCCACGCCGUAAACGAUGUAUACUAGAUGCUGGGUCACUUAAUAGACUCGGUGUCGGAGCUAACGCAUUAAGUAUACCGCCUGGGGAGUACGGUCGCAAGAUUAAAACUCAAAGGAAUU